CGCUGGCGGCGUGCCUAACACAUGCAAGUCGAACGCGAAAGCCCCGCAAGGGGUAAGUAGAGUGGCAAACGGGUGAGUAACACGUGGGUGACCUGCCUUCGAGUGGGGGAUAACGUCCCGAAAGGGACGCUAAUACCGCAUGAUAUCCCGCCUUGAGAGAGGUGGAGAUCAAAGCUGGGGAUCGCAAGACCUAGCGCUUGAAGAGGGGCCCCCGCCUGAUUAGCUAGUUGGUGGGGUAAUGGCUCACCAAGGCGACGAUCAGUAUCCGGCCUGAGAGGGCGGACGGACACACUGGGACUGAGACACGGCCCAGACUCCUACGGGAGGCAGCAGUGGGGAAUUGUUCGCAAUGGGCGCAAGCCUGACGACGCAACGCCGCGUGGAGGAUGAAGAUCUUCGGGUCGUAAACUCCUGUCGAGCGGGACGAAUGCCUUGCGGGUGAAUAAUCCGCGAGGGUGACGGUACCGCUAAAGGAAGCCCCGGCUAACUCCGUGCCAGCAGCCGCGGUAAUACGGGGGGGGCAAGCGUUGUUCGGAAUUACUGGGCGUAAAGGGCUCGUAGGUGGCCAACUAAGUCAGACGUGAAAUCC
rnacentral:rRNA from 1 species